UACGGAGGAUGCGAGCGUUAUCCGGAUUUAUUGGGUUUAAAGGGUGCGCAGGCGGAGGCACAAGUCAGCGGUAAAAUCGCGGGGCUCAACCCCGCUCCGCCGUUGAAACUGUGUCCCUUGAGUGCGCGAAGGGUAGGCGGAAUGCGUGGUGUAGCGGUGAAAUGCAUAGAUAUCACGCAGAACUCCGGUCGCGAAGGCAGCCUACCGGCGCGCGACUGACGCUCAUGCACGAAAGCGUGGGUAUCGAACAGG
rnacentral:rRNA from 1 species